UGGGGAAUAUUGGGCAAUGGGGGAAACCCUGACCCAGCGACGCCGCGUGAGGGAAGACGGUUUUCGGAUUGUAAACCUCUGUCUUAUGGGAAGAGAACGGACUGUACCAUAGGAGGAAGCCACGGCUAACUACGUGCCAGCAGCCGCGGUAAUACGUAGGUGGCAAGCGUUAUCCGGAAUUACUGGGUGUAAAGGGAGCGUAGGCGGGGAGGAAAGUCAGAUGUGAAAUACCGGAGCUCAACUUCGGUUCUGCAUUUGAAACUUCUUCUCUUGAGUGAAGUAGAGGCAAGCGGAAUUCCAUGUGUAGCGGUGAAAUGCGCAGAUAUAUGGAGGAACACCAGUGGCGAAGGCGGCUUGCUGGGCUUUUACUGACGCUGAGGCUCGAAAGCGUGGGUAGCAAACA
rnacentral:rRNA from 1 species